UACAAACUCAAUCAACACAUAUUUUCGAUUGCUGGCAGCAGAGGUGGGCAGGGAACCCGAGUGGCCGAGUCCAUCCUCCCACGACACUGAUGAGCUCGCCGCGACGCCGGAUGAAUCUUUGCUGCGAGCAAUCGAACCCACUUCUAUUUUCCUCCCCAACAGUUAGUAGCGGAUUUCUUUGCUUCGUGGCCGGAUACUAAUCUAAUCUACCGACCCCGCGGCUCUAGUUUGAUUCGAUUACGCUUUUCUUCUUUUUCAGCGCGCGCAAGAUCGAUGGAUUCGGGCAUCCAGUAUGCUGGCGCAGUUUAUUUCCAAAAAAAUGGGACCUUCAAGGAUAAAUCAUCUGCGCAGAAGCAACCUGGGGUUAAUUUUGGUCCGUCAAUAGCAAACCUGCCGGCCUGAUUUUUGGGGGAGGGCAUGGCUCCAGCAGAGAGCCCAGCGGAAGAGCUCCGGAGGCUGAAGAGAGCUGGGGACAACGAGCAAAAGAGUGACAGGCGCAAGCCACGACCUGAUGGAGAUGGCUUUUGUGCAAUAUGUGAUAAUGCUGGUGAUGUAACUUGCUGUGAUGGUGGGUGUUAGAGGUCUUUCCAUCUAGCCGAUGAAUACAGUGAAGAUUCUAAAUGCAGAUUAACCCUCGGUCUAACUAAAGAACAGGCAAAGAUGAUAAUUGAUAGUGAGGAAGGUUUUAUAUGCAAGAACUGCAAGUAUAAGCAACAUCAGUGUUUUCCUUGUGGGUUGUUGGGGUCUUCAGACUUGUCAUCAGGAGCCGAGGUAAGUAUAACAGAUAUGUUUAAUCAUGUUUCAUUGAGAC